rnacentral:rRNA from 1 species
UACGGAGGAUCCAAGCGUUAUCCGGAAUCAUUGGGUUUAAAGGGUCCGUAGGCGGUUUGGUAAGUCAGUGGUGAAGCCCAUCGCUCAACGGUGGAACGGCCAUUGAUACUGCCAGACUUGAAUUAUUAGGAAGUAACUAGAAUAUGUAGUGUAGCGGUGAAAUGCUUAGAGAUUACAUGGAAUACCAAUUGCGAAGGCAGGUUACUACUAA